ensembl:lncRNA
GGAGAAUCCACACAGAAAGGCCUCUGGGCGGAAUCAAACCCAGCACCCUCUUGCUGUGAGGCAACAGUGCUAACCACCACACCAUCAUGCCACUUACAUAUAUUCUAUAAUAUGAAUACAUUUUAAUCAUCCCUCUCCCACUCCGCACCUCUUUCCUUUAGACUUCAUGCCAGUAAGCUUCUGUACACAUUCUCUCUCAAUCCCUCAACUCGUCCAUGUCACGUUCAAAUGACCAAGCCCUUCAAUAGUUGUAGCAAGUAUCAGUGAGAUCAAAGUUGAUGAUUAUAAAAAAAGUAAUAAUUUCACUUAAAUGGAAACUCCAAAAUGAACAAUGGACCCAGCUCAUGUGACCUGGCUCAGUUUUUAGCGAAUCACUCAAAACUCUGGUGACCAGUGAGUCUCUAGUUUGUAAAAAACACCUUAAAUCCCAUUUUUAAAGUAAGGGGACCAUCUUUGACUAACUAGUAGACUCUGCUUGGCAUAAGGACUGAACACUAGAGGAUGUUAACCUGGAUGUGCCUGAAGCAAAACAGAAUCCACCACCAGCAGCUCAUUUACAUGUUUAUGCAACUUGUUUGUUAAGGAAACGAGUUGAGGAUUCACGGCUGGUGACGUGACUGCUUCUUGGAUGGUAGAAUGUACUGAUGCUGUGCACCUUGUAUUUGUUUAGAAGAUUAAUAACUUUAAUGUUUGCUCACUUUUAUUAAAGUAAACACAAAACAGUCUUUAUACUAUUGUAGGAAGACAUGAUAAGCUAACAUCACCCUGAGGUGGUGACAGGUGAAGCUCCAUCUUUUCAUUCAGCUCGUGAUUAAUGGCGUGUCCUUCUGCAAACAUGACAUGAAAAGAUUGUGUUUGUUCAUGCCUCAGGACACAGAAAGAAAGAAAAGAAAUUUGGAGCUACUUAAAUUUGAUCUUGAAUUGCAGUGUGAUGUAAAUGAUAUUGACUGUUUUCCAAUAGUUGGAGUCAGCAGGUGGAUGCUGAGGGUUUAAGCCCGUCGUUGGCUGUGGAUCUGACCUUCUUCAGAUGCGAAUGACGCACGUAAAUAUUUCUUUUUUAAAGUUGGAUGGAGCUGCUACACGACAACCUAUUAGCCAAGUACCACAGAAUUCAUUAUUGUUACUAAGACAUCAUAUCUAUUUCCACCAAAUUUUUGAUUUGUACAAAUCAAUCAAUUGCAUCAGCUGGUUCACCAUGGCAACUGUAAAUACACACGUAUAUACCAAUCAGAACAUAGAAUAACACACUAAACUCAUUAGACAUACAUUGUGUUAUGGCGUGAUAACAAAAAGCAGUUAAAUGUUUGUUGAAGUAUUAGUUGCAAUAAGUGCAACGUUUUCAUUACAGCACAUUUAGUCUCCACCAACCUCUUAUUUCUCCCCUUAAAAACCACUCAAACACGAUGUACUGACCACUGUGGGAGUGACCACCAUCUGACUGUCGGACUAAUGAAGAGGGCAACAACAGCACACUGACAGAUCAACAUGCCUCUGAGAAACUCUCGGACGAGCUGAGAGAGAUGGAGAAAACAUUGUCCCUUCUCCUUAACAACGGGAAGGCAGAGGAGAAGGUUCAGCAGGUUCUGACAGUGGUUUUAUUUGACCUGGUUUUGUUGAAUAUGUCCAAUUAUAAAAGCCUCAUGUUCCACACUUGUUUUGGCAAAGCUGCUG